UACGUAGGGUGCGAGCGUUGUCCGGAAUUACUGGGCGUAAAGAGCUCGUAGGUGGUUUGUCGCGUCGUCUGUGAAAUUCCGGGGCUUAACCUCGGGCGUGCAGGCGAUACGGGCAAUACUUGAGUGCUGUAGGGGAGACUGGAAUUCCUGGUGUAGCGGUGAAAUGCGCAGAUAUCAGGAGGAACACCGAUGGCGAAGGCAGGCCUCUGGGCAGUAACUGACGCUGAGGAGCGAAAGCAUGGGUAGCGAACAGGAUUAGA
rnacentral:rRNA from 1 species